AAUCAACGCUGGCGGCGUGCCUAACACAUGCAAGUCGAACGCGAAAGCCCCGCAAGGGGCAAGUAGAGUGGCAAACGGGUGAGUAACACGUGGGUGACCUGCCUUCGAGCGGGGGAUAACGUCCCGAAAGGGACGCUAAUACCGCAUAACAUCCUGCCUUUGAAGAGGUGGAGAUCAAAGCCGGGGAUCGCAAGACCCGGCACUUGAAGAGGGGCCCGCGCCUGAUUAGCUAGUUGGUGGGGUAACGGCCUACCAAGGCGACGAUCAGUAUCCGGCCUGAGAGGGCGGACGGACACACUGGGACUGAGACACGGCCCAGACUCCUACGGGAGGCUG
rnacentral:rRNA from 1 species